rnacentral:rRNA from 1 species
GGGGGCAACUCCUUCCAGUCGAGUGGCGGACGGGUGAGUAACACGUGGGUAACCUGCCCGGAAGUGGGGAAUACCUCGGGGAAACUCGAGCUAAUACCGCAUGACAUCUUCGGGACGAAAGUCCUGGUGAUCAAAGCGGGGUCGCAAGAUCUCGCGCUACCGGAUGGGCCCGCGCCCGAUUAGCUAGUUGGUGAGGUAACGGCUCACCAAGGCUUCGAUCGGUAACCGGCCUGAGAGGGCGAUCGGUCACACCGGAACUGAGACACGGUCCGGACUCCUACGGGAGGCAGCAGUGGGGAAUCUUGCGCAAUGGGCGAAAGCCUGACGCAGCAACGCCGCGUGGAGGAUGAGGGCCCUUGGGUUGUAAACUCCUGUCGGCUGGGAAGAAAUCAUGCGGUGCUCAUACCACCGUGUGUUGACUGUACCAGCAAAGGAAGCCCCGGCUAACUCUGUGCCAGCAGCCGCGGUAAUACAGAGGGGGCCAGCGUUAUUCGGAAUUAUUGGGCGUAAAGGGCGCGUAGGCGGCCAUGCGUGUCUUCCGUGAAAUCCCUCGGCUUAACUGAGGACGUGCGGAAGAAACUGCAAGGCUUGAGUCCGGGAGAGGGGGGUGGAAUUCCCAGUGUAGCGGUGAAAUGCGUAGAUAUUGGGAGGAACACCGGUGGCGAAGGCGGCCCCCUGGACCGGUACUGACGCUGAGGCGCGAAAGCGUGGGUAGCAAACGGGAUUAGAUACCCCGGUAGUCCACGCCGUAAACGAUGGGCACUUGGUGUCGCGGGUAUCGACCCCUGCGGUGCCGAAGCUAACGCAUUAAGUG